rnacentral:rRNA from 1 species
GUGCACCAGUCGCGAAACUUUACAAUGUGCGAAAGCACGAUAAGGGAACUCUGAGUGCCUCCUAAGGAGGCUGUUCAGGUGUCUAAAAGCACCUGAAGGAAGGGCAGGGUAAGACCGGUGCCAGCCGCCGCGGUAACACCGGCAGCCCAAGUGGUAGCCACGUUUAUUGGGUCUAAAGCGUCCGUAGCCGGCUGGGUAAGUUCCUUGGGAAAUUUGGCUGCUUAACAGUCAAGCUUUCAGGGAAUACUGCCCGGCUUGGGACCGGGAGAGGUCAGAGGUACUCCAGGGGUAGGGGUGAAAUCCAUUAAUCCUUGGGGGACCACCGGUAGCGAAGGCGUCUGACCAGACCGGGUCCGACGGUGAGGGACGAAGGCUAGGGGCGCGAACCGGAUUAGAUA